UACGUAGGGUGCGAGCGUUAAUCGGAAUUACUGGGCGUAAAGCGUGCGCAGGCGGUUCUGUAAGCCAGAUGUGAAAUCCCCGGGCUUAACCUGGGAAUGGCAUUUGGGACUGCAAGGCUUGAGUUUGGCAGAGGAGACUGGAAUUCCUGGUGUAGCAGUGAAAUGCGUAGAUAUCAGGAGGAAUACCGAUGGCGAAGGCAGGUCUCUGGGCUAGAACUGACGCUCAUGCACGAAAGCGUGGGGAGCAAACAGG
rnacentral:rRNA from 1 species